AAAAAUUGGGUGUGUCAUUCUGUUCCCUUAAAACGAAAACAAUUCGGACGAGCUCGAUUAUCAUCCGAGCAUCGAUUCAUCCUUGGAAGGCAGUCGAAGUUGAAUUUUCUCGUGUCAGAUGGCAAAAAUGAUGAAAACCCUGUGUAGUUUCUCGUAAACGGUAGGUUAGGGUAUCAGUUCCUUUAAAUAGACGCUCAACGAACAUCGCCAUUGGAAGUGUGUGCUAGUGAUGGCACAGCUGAACAUUGAUCGCUAACGUAGAUAUAUAUGGCAGAUCUGCUCAGUGGGUGUUGUCACGUGGUCGCUUCAAGUAGCUUGUGUGUUCGGCUCCCGAUGCGCGUUUCGAACCUCCAUGGUGUCUCGGCACCAUGGAAAUAUUCGAGCGCCUGCACGGUUGAGUCCUCACGUCGCUCCUCGAACUACCGCGAUUUCCAAAUUGGGGGGCAAAUCGAAUAGGUCAGACGAGAUCAACGGAAAAGAGGUUAAACACUCCCGAGUGGUCGAGUGGAAAAAGACGGAGAGAACCGGCGUUGCCAAAUUGUAAACUUUGAGAUGCUCGCGAAUCGUUGGACUGACUUUUUUUUCAUUUUUAUACUUCAAUGCGAAUUUAAAGGAUUGCAUAAGGAAAAUUUGAGUUAUUGGAAAUAAUUUUUUCCCAUGCGUCAAUAAUAUUGGUUACAAGUCUCAAGUUUUAGCAGAAUGUUUAUUAAUGAAAUUUUUCUUCGGACUGAUUAAAAAAAAAAUGUUGGCAUUUUAAUUCCAGCAUCUAAAAUUCUUUUUCGCAAUAAUAAAAAUUGUUUCUGAAAAAUGUUGAAUGAAAAGGAUAUUUUGACAGCACUGUUAUCGAGGACUUGAAGAAAAUGAUGACACUCGGCAACACGUGUGAACUUUGUUUCGAAUAAAUGUUAUUUCAGUAAAUCGA